AGAGUUUGAUCCUGGCUCAGAUUGAACGCUGGCGGCGUGCCUAACACAUGCAAGUCGUGCGAGAAAGUGGGCUUCAGCCCGCGAGUACAGCGGCGCACGGGUGAGUAACACGUGGGUGAUCUCCCUAACAGAUUGGGAUAACAGCGGGAAACUGCUGCUAAUACCGGAUACUAUCCAUUUAAUCGUGGAUGAAAGGCGGCCUCUGCUUGCAAGCUGCCACUGUUAGAUGAGCCCGCGUCCCAUUAGCUUGUUGGCGGGGUAACGGCCCACCAAGGCGACGAUGGGUAGCUGGUCUGAGAGGAUGACCAGCCACACUGGGACUGAGGAACGGCCCAGACUCCUACGGGAGGCAGCAGUGGGGAAUAUUGCGCAACGGGCGAAAGCCUGACGCCCCGUCGCCGUGUGAGGGAAGAAGGCCUUAGGGUCGUAAACCUCGACCAAGGGAAGAACCCCCAAGGUUCUGACUAGGGCGAUGGGCUGACGGUAC
rnacentral:rRNA from 1 species